rnacentral:lncRNA from 1 species
AAUUUGUUAACCCUGUCUUCCGCUAUAUGACCUAGCCUUAGGUGCUAUAGAUACCUAUCAUUUAGACUAUCUCUAGGCCUUUUAAUUCCCAUGGCAUUCAUAUUUUGCUCGAUAUGAAAUACAGAUACAUCAAUAUGUUGCUGAUAGAGACCAUUAAUAAGAAAACCAUUUGUAACUUUAUUAUUUUCAUAAAAUAUGUUACAAU